GUGACCCUCGAAAAGUGCUUCAGAAACCUAACUUCGCUCCACAGCCUCCGAACAAACAGACAUUCAGUUCAUAAAAAAGAAAGACUUAUAUAGAGGAUUUAAAACCUCAGUUCGGAUUAGUCCGCACUGCAAGGCUAUUCAAAUUCGCAACGUGUAAUGACGAACUACUGUCUCCGAGGCGUAUGUAGAUAUUCGGCCGGCGUAAUAAUACUUUUCGCCUCGAGAGGUGCCACGGUUGAGGCGUCAUCAGAAGGAACGAAUCAGCUAACUGCUAUGUCAGCUGAGAUGAGGAGUAAACGGAAGUAGCAUGGCUACCGAAGGAGCUGGUCGAUCAUCUAGUAGUACCGAGGAAGACGAAAUCUCGACCGAAAAUGUACAAAAAAAGACAUCUUCGAAACGCAAGUUGUGUUACAUGCAUAUAUCUUCGGUCAAGCAUGAAGAAACAUACGGUGGAAUACAUAUCGAAAUUUUCGGCAGUGGCUAGAAUUGAAGGGUGAGUGCAGAGACGUAGCAGAACAUUUUAAGCAAUGUAUUGAGUUGGAGUUUGACGAAAUUCCCGAGGAUGCGGCUUUCCAUCCCACAUGCUACCGGAGGUUUAUUGACAAGCGGGAAAUUGAACGAGUCACACGGCGUGUCUUGCGAGAGGCAGAGAGGGGAGAUGGCCAACAAGACCCCCAAACUAGCCAGGCUACCUCCGCUUCAUCGGCUGUGACCACCACUCCGACCAGGAAACUGCGAUCCAGAUCAAGCUUGGCCAUCACGAGCUCUGGCCCCGUUCUUCCUGCUGUCUGCAUGAUUUGCAAGAAAGACAGCAAAUUUAUCGUCGCGAGUGGCAGACGUCAAAAAGAACGAAAACACAGACUUUAACCGCAGGCAAGUUGCAGGAAGCAGCUGAAGUAAAGGAAGACCAGAGCAUCCUCAUUCACAUCAAGGACAGAGACUGUGUGGCUCUGGAGACAGGAUAUAUUGAAGAAGAGGCUCAGUCGUGAUUUUCCUCAGCUAGUGUUCCACACCCCCGCCAAACGCAACACAUCUGAACUGGUUUUUGCUGAGAACUUGUCGACGAAUGCAGUCUUGGACUUGUUACCAUCAGCGAGGAGUAGUGUGUGUGUGUGUGUGUGUCCGCCAUUCU